GUACACUCCUGCGGGAGGCAGCAGUGAGGAAUAUUGGACAAUGGGUGGAAGCCUGAUCCAGCCAUCCCGCGUGCAGGAAGACGGCCCUAUGGGUUGUAAACUGCUUUUAUCUGGGGAUAAACCUACUUACGUGUAAGUAGCUGAAGGUACCAGAAGAAUAAGCACCGGCUAACUCCGUGCCAGCAGCCGCGGUAAUACGGAGGGUGCAAGCGUUAUCCGGAUUUAUUGGGUUUAAAGGGUCCGUAGGCGGACUGAUAAGUCAGUGGUGAAAUCCGACAGCUUAACUGUCGAACUGCCAUUGAUACUGUUAGUCUUGAGUAAGGUUGAAGUGGCUGGAAUAAGUAGUGUAGCGGUGAAAUGCAUAGAUAUUACUUAGAACACCAAUUGCGAAGGCAGGUCACUAAGUCUUAACUGACGCUGAUGGACGAAAGCGUGGGGAGCGAACAGGAUUAGAAACCCUUGUAGUCCCA
rnacentral:rRNA from 1 species